CCCACUGUGGCUCAGUUGGUAGAGCAUGGUGCUUGCAAUGCCAAGGUUGUGGGUUCAAUUCCCAUGGAGGACCAGUAUUGGGA